rnacentral:lncRNA from 1 species
GCGCCGCGCGCUGACCCUCCCUGGGCACCGCUGGGGACGAUGGCGCUGCUCGCCUUGCUGCUGGUCGUGGCCCUACCGCGGGUGUGGACAGACGCCAACCUGACUGCGAGACAACGAGAUCCAGAGGACUCCCAGCGAACGGACGAGGGUGACAAUAGAGUGUGGUGUCAUGUUUGUGAGAGAGAAAACACUUUCGAGUGCCAGAACCCAAGGAGGUGCAAAUGGACAGAGCCAUACUGCGUUAUAGCGGCCGUGAUGCUCCGCUGGUUGUGCAGCGAUGGAGAGACCCAAGCCAGAGGAGAAGCGGUUUCUCCUGGAAGAGCCCAUGCCCUUCUUUUACCUCAAGUGUUGUAAAAUUCGCUACUGCAAUUUAGAGGGGCCACCUAUCAACUCAUCAGUGUUCAAAGAAUAUGCUGGGAGCAUGGGUGAGAGCUGUGGUGGGCUGUGGCUGGCCAUCCUCCUGCUGCUGGCCUCCAUUGCAGCCGGCCUCAGCCUGUCUUGAGCCACGGGACUGCCACAGACUGAGCCUUCCGGAGCAUGGACUCGCUCCAGACCGUUGUCACCUGUUGCAUUAAACUUGUUUUCUGUUGAUU